UGGUAAUGCCGGAUGCUCCGACUCCUCGCAUGGGGUGUCGGGAAAGAUUUCAUCGGUAUGGGAUGGGGUCGCGUCCUAUCAGGUAGUCGGCGGGGUAACGGCCCACCGAGCCUACGACGGGUAGCCGGCCUGAGAGGGCGACCGGCCACAUUGGGACUGAGAUACGGCCCAGACUCCUACGGGAGGCAGCAGUGGGGAAUAUUGCACAAUGGGCGCAAGCCUGAUGCAGCGACGCCGCGUGCGGGAUGACGGCCUUCGGGUUGUAAACCGCUUUUGAUCGGGAGCAAGCCUUCGGGUGAGUGUACCUUUCGAAUAAGCACCGGCUAACUACGUGCCAGCAGCCGCGGUAAUACGUAGGGUGCAAGCGUUAUCCGGAAUUAUUGGGCGUAAAGGGCUCGUAGGCGGUUCGUCGCGUCCGGUGUGAAAGUCCAUCGCUUAACGGUGGAUCUGCGCCGGGUACGGGCGGGCUGGAGUGCGGUAGGGGAGACUGGAAUUCCCGGUGUAACGGUGGAAUGUGUAGAUAUCGGA
rnacentral:rRNA from 1 species